AGCUUUGCGCAGUAGCAGUAUUGUAGCCAAUGAGGUUUAUCCGAGGCAUGAUUAUUGCUAAUUGAAAAUCUCCAUUACUUUUAAAAACCUUAGCUCAAGAAAAUUAAGCCCUUAGAGAUUAUUUUAUUUUUAGAUCAAAUAACUGA
rfam:Tupaia chinensis contig219977, whole genome shotgun sequence.